AGCUUUGCGCAGUGGCGAUAUCGUAACCAAUGAGGUUCAACCGAGGUGCGAUUAUUGCUAGUUGAAAAAAAAUAAAUAAAUAUUUAACAUGAGGCUAGUUUAUGUAAGGCGUAAAAAUAACACAAACGUUAGACGC